CGAAGUGCGCAGCUACACAUGCAGUCGAGCGAGAACUUCGGUUCUAGCGGCGGACGGGUUAGUAACGCGUGGGAACGUGCCCUUCACUACGGAAUAGUCCCGGGAAACUGGGUUUAAUACCGUAUACGCCCUUCGGGGGAAAGAAUUUCGGUGAAGGAUCGGCCCGCGUUAGAUUAGAUAGUUGGUGGGGUAACGGCCUACCAAGUCUACGAUCUAUAGCUGGUUUUAGAGGAUGAUCAGCAACACUGGGACUGAGACACGGCCCAGACUCCUACGGGAGGCAGCAGUGGGGAAUCUUAGACAAUGGGCGCAAGCCUGAUCUAGCCAUGCCGCGUGAGUGAUGAAGGCCUUAGGGUCGUAAAGCUCUUUCGCCAGGGAUGAUAAUGACAGUACCUGGUAAAGAAACCCCGGCUAACUCCGUGCCAGCAGCCGCGGUAAUACGGAGGGGGUUAGCGUUGUUCGGAAUUACUGGGCGUAAAGCGCGCGUAGGCGGAUUGGAAAGUUGGGGGUGAAAUCCCAGGGCUCAACCCUGGAACUGCCUCCAAAACUAUCAGUCUAGAGUUCGAGAGAGGUGAGUGGAACUCCGAGUGUAGAGGUGAAAUUCGUAGAUAUUCGGAAGAACACCAGUGGCGAAGGCGGCUCACUGGCUCGAUACUGACGCUGAGGUGCGAAAGUGUGGGGAGCAAACAGGAUUAGAUACCCUGGUAGUC
rnacentral:rRNA from 1 species